AACGAACGCUGGCGGCAGGCUUAACACAUGCAAGUCGAACGCCCCGCAAGGGGAGUGGCAGACGGGUGAGUAACGCGUGGGAAUCUACCUAGUUCUACGGAACAACUGAGGGAAACUUCAGCUAAUACCGUAUACGCCCUACGGGGGAAAGAUUUAUCGGAAUUAGAUGAGCCCGCGUAAGAUUAGCUAAUUGGUGAGGUAAUGGCUCACCAAGGCGACGAUCUUUAGCUGGUCUGAGAGGAUGAUCAGCCACACUGGGUCUGAGACACGGCCCAGACUCCUACGGGAGGCAGCAGUGGGGAAUAUUGGACAAUGGGCGCAAGCCUGAUCCAGCCAGGCCGCGUGAGUGAUGAAGGCCUUAGGGUUGUAAAGCUCUUUCAGUGGGGAAGAUAAUGACGGUACCCACAGAAGAAGCCCCGGCUAACUUCGUGCCAGCCGCCGCCGUAA
rnacentral:rRNA from 1 species